CAGCAGCCACGGGAAUACGAAGGGUGCAAGCGUUAAUCGGAAUUACUGGGCGUAAAGCGUGCGUAGGCGGUGAGUUAAGUCUGCUGUGAAAUCCCCGGGCUCAACCUGGGAAUGGCAGUGGAUACUGGCUCGCUAGAGUGUGUCAGAGGAUGGUGGAAUUCCCGGUGUAGCGGUGAAAUGCGUAGAGAUCGGGAGGAACAUCAGUGGCGAAGGCGGCCAUCUGGGACAACACUGACGCUGAGGCACGAAAGCGUGGGGAGCAAACAGGAUUAGAUACCCCCGUAGUCCCUGUCUCUUAACA
rnacentral:rRNA from 1 species